UCCAAGAGAGUGUCGGUAUUCUCAUGAGUUUUGGGGUUGGUAAGGAUUCCACUUCUAGAGAGAAAGAAUCUCUCGGUUGCUCUCGAGGUUAUCUUUUUUGUAGCGGUAUUGCGAUGGGAAAGAAGGUAUUGAUCGACAAUGUUGUUCGGUUGGGAGAGCGAGUUUAGAAGGGAAGAGCGGUGAUGGUUUUUUUUUUACCAAUGUUUAAAG
rnacentral:lncRNA from 1 species